AUGAGGCCAGUCACUCAUCUCCUGGGCUUGCUGCUCUGGCUUACAGGUGCCAGAUGUGAAAUCCAGAUGACCCAGUCUCCAAUGUCCCUGUCUGCAUCUCUGGGAGACAGUGUCACCAUCACAUGCCGGGCAAGUCAGAACAUAUACAAUGUUUUAGCAUGGUAUCAGCAGAAACCAGGGAAAUCUCCCAAGCUCCUGAUCUAUGCUGCAAACAUUUUGGCUGAUGAGGUCCCAACAAGGUUCAGUGGCAGUGGAUUUUUCACACAGUAUUCUCUCAAGAUUGGUGGCCUGCAUGCAGAAGACGUUGCAACUUAUUACUGUCUACAAUUCAGGUCAAACCUAAAAAUUAUAGGGGUAGAAGGAGAAGAAGUACAGCUC